UGAACGCUGGCGGCAGCCUACAUAUAACAGUCGAACGGAUCCUCCGGGAUUAAUGGCGGACGGGUGAGUCUGGAACGUGCCCUUUGGUUCGGAACAACUCAGGGAAACUUGAGCUAAUACCGGAUGUGCCCUUCGGGGGAAAGAUUUAUCGCCAUUGGGAGCGGCCCGCUGUCUGAUUAGCUAGUUGGUGGGGUAAAGGCCCACCAAUGCGACGAUCAGUAGCUGGUCUGAGAGGAUGAUCAGCCACAUUGGGACUGAGACACGGCCCACACUCCUACGGGAGGCAGCAGUGGGGAAUCUUGCGCAAUGGGCGAAAGCCUGACGCAGUCAUGCCGCGUGAAUGAUGAAGGUCUUAGGAUUGUAAAAUUCUUUCCCCGGGGACGAUAAUGACGGUACCCGGAGAAGAAGCCCCGGCUAACUUCGUGCCAGCAGCCGCGGUUAUACGACGGGGGCUAGCGUUGCUCGGAAUUACUGGGCGUCAAGGGAGCGUAGGCGGACUGUUCAGUUAGAGGUGAAAGCCCAGUGCUCAACCUUGGAAUGACUUGAACUGGCGGCCGAGUACGAAGAGCAGUGGA
rnacentral:rRNA from 1 species